GGCUGGUGGCUGGGCCUGGAGCGCGGUGGAAAUUGGACGAGGCUGGUGGCGGCCAAAAAGGGAGUGGUGAUGAUGACAAAUGCAUUGAUGAACUAAAGUGACUGAAGCCUCUCAGCCAUUGCCAACCCACAAUGCUUUGCGGUUUCGGGUCUGGAUGCCAUCCUUGCGCAUGAAUGGCAGCUCCACAGACAUAGAUAUGCCUGACUCUUCUGUUCAACACACACUCUCCAAUGCCUGGAACAGAGCCAAGCACACAACAACCCAAGUUUCAGUGGGGUGUGUGGUGCCACGAGCUUUAAACACCUGCAUUUCCCAGCAUCCCUUGCUGAGAGGCCAGGUAAGAUGAACCAGACAAUGAGAUGUCAGCUGGGGCCAUGAGUGGGGCUUCUGGGAACCUCCCCACCCCACUGAGCUGGUGCUUUUUGCCCACUCACUUCCUCCUCCUUCCAGCCACUGCCCGAGCGCUGACUGCCUACCUCCAGACUGGUUGUUAAAUAGGAGAAAAAGAAAGCUCUAUGUUAUUUAACUUAUGGGUCGUAGAGUUUUCUCCCGAGGGUCUCCAAACACAGUCCCUAACUGCUGUGCCGCUCUUUCUGGGUCUGAGAGUUUUAGAAAUUUUCUGUAUCUCCUUGCUAAGAUGAAUGAGGACCUAGCUCCUCCCCUUUCACUGCCCCUCCUAAUAGAAUUCUGUCGUCAUUUUUAGUUCCUCUUUUGGUCCUUUUACAAUUUUUUUCUUUUCCCUUAGAGUUUAUGACGGGAUAUUGAAUAUAGUUCCCAGUGCUGUA